rnacentral:piRNA from 1 species
UAGACUAGGCCCUUUUAGAGA